rnacentral:rRNA from 1 species
CCUACUUUCUUCCUCAGUGGGGAAUAUUGGACAAUGGGGGGAACCCUGAUCCAGCCAUGCCGCGUGUGUGAAGAAGGCCCUCGGGUUGUAAAGCACUUUCAGUGAGGAAGAACGCCUGGUGGUUAAUACCCAUCAGGAAAGACAUCACUCACAGAAGAAGCACCGGCUAACUCCGUGCCAGCAGCCGCGGUAAUACGGAGGGUGCGAGCGUUAAUCGGAAUUACUGGGCGUAAAGCGCGCGUAGGUGGCUUGAUAAGCCGGUUGUGAAAGCCCCGGGCUCAACCUGGGAACGGCAUCCGGAACUGUCAAGCUAGAGUGCAGGAGAGGAAGGUAGAAUUCCCGGUGUAGCGGUGAAAUGCGUAGAGAUCGGGAGGAAUACCAGUGGCGAAGGCGGCCUUCUGGACUGACACUGACACUGAGGUGCGAAAGCGUGGGUAGCAAACAGGAUUAGAUACCCUUGUAGUC